AACGCGAAGCUGACCUACGAACUCUCCCGCUGACGUCUUGCGCGCUUCCUGGCCCGUUGCCUUGGGAACGGGUUAACCCUCUCCUCCUGCGGAACACCCCAGCCUGGCUCUCUUGCCUUCGACUGUCUGCCUUGGGCCGCCCCGCCUCCCUGGGCUUGGUUUCCCACGUUGCACAGCUAGAUCAAGGGUCCACGAACGGUCCAUCCUUCAGAAUGGCCCUGCUCCGUGCUCAGCAUCUUCAGGGAGAACCCCACGUCAUGCACCAGGCUCGGGCCCUAGCUGAACCUCCAGUCAUUCCAAGGGGAGCGCUCACCCCAUGUGGCAUCGAAAUUGGGACAUAAGGCUUUGCCCACCAAGAAGCCGAGCCUCAGAGUCUUUGGAGACAUCUAAAGAGAUAUGGCUGCUUCCCCACAAUGGAGCUUAUGAAAGCCAGUUUUAUAGCCAGUCUUUAUGAACAUGAAAGUAACUAACAUCACUGGCCUGCGUCAUUCCAAGAUGGCCAGCAGCUGAUCCGAAGUCACCACGGAAACUCCAGAGAGGAGUGACAUCUGCAGUAAACAAGGUCUCACUUUUAUGUCUGGCUGGAAGACAUGACAUUCUCAGAUGGGAAAGAAAGGUCGCUGUUUCUAAGGUGUCCCUUGAGCUCUAGUGUUAAAUUCAGUGCCUUCAAACUUUGCUACUGUUUGACAUAUUCUGUAACUUUAAAAGAAAGUCCCACAUUUCUUGUUCAUUUCAUCUGUGCUAUUCCGUGAUUUCCCCAGCAACUAAGUUCCAAGAAUCUAUUCAACUGAUCUGCCAAGUUUCCCGUUAUCCUAUUAAGUUUUUAUUAUUUCUUUUCCAUCCUGGCAUCCUUGGAAGUACCUGCAGUGCCAGCUGACAUCUAGCGGUUUGGUCAGCGCUGGUUUUGGUACAAAAGCCUCUCAUCUAGAUGUUCCCAGUGCCAUUUUACAUGUGGGUACCCCUCUCUGCAGAAACAACACUUAACUUCUUAAACACCAUACAGCACAGUGUAGACGCCAGUCAUUUCUCUGAAUGUGACGAUCUGAGUCCUCCAUGAGACACAGUGUCUUCUGUCACUCCAGUUUCAUGCUUUGAUUCCGCUGGCACUGCUCUCUUGGUUUUUGUUCUUGUGUUUUGUUUUGUUUUGAGACAGUGUCUC